UUCCAUUGGCAAAUAAAUUGAUUGACAAGAACACAAGCCUGGGGGGGUGAAUAAGAUGAUACGGGAGCUGCCUCCAUCUGCAUGCAACCAGUCACAAGCUGAGCUGUUAUCCACAGCGGUCCACGAGAGAACGUCUGUAUCCUGAGUACUAUGCAUCUGACAGUUGCCAUUGGCGGUGAUACAAAGAGAACCAGAGACCCUGACGACCUAAAACAACACACAGGUUGGUGUGGAUACGAUGGCCAGACAGUUUACGGUGAAAGGGGGUACUCGCCGCUGGCCCGUUGCGGUAUUCUACAACCUGCUUGGCCUGGCUGCUAUCAACGCGCACGUUUUGUUCACCCUGUGCACUGGUAAGACAAUCACGAGGAGAGAUUUCAUCAUGCAGUUGGCAUUGGCGCUUCGUGAGAACCACAUGAGCGCCAGGGGCAAGGCAGCAGCGCACGACGUGCCAAAUGACGCACCGCCGCUCUUCCGAGAAGAAGAGACAGUGGACGGAUGCGCACGGAAAGAAAACUGCGACUUCUGCGGGAAGAAAUUUGUCUGCGGAAAGUGCUCAUUCCAGAAUAAAGAUUUUGUCGAAGUUUUGUGUUGAAUGUCAUGCCAUGUUACUGUAAGAGAUUCUUCUGUGUUAACGGAAUAACUGCUGCUAAGCGUAAAGGCGCACGUGCCCGAGAGAGGCCACAAUGACUGACACCAGUACAGGCUGUUUAUAUGACUGACACUUGUUAUAUGCUUGAUAUGUUAUUUUAUAAUACCGUUACCGUUUUACAUUUGCUCGUUGUACACUCCAUUGAGAUGACUCUCGGCCCAUUUAGCCCUAUUGACAGUGAGAAUUUUGGAACACCUAUAAGCCUACUAAGAGCGGAUGUUAUAAAAAGAUGCUUCUACAUUCAAUUACGGUGAAUGUGAUUUCUGUAUCGUUCUUUUCGCUAAAAUCUACAUAUAAAAUGGAAUGACCAUUUACAUGCUGGUGUUUCUUUCCCUCAAUUAAAACUUAAAACAGAACAACCUAGGCUAUUAUAAAGGUCUAAAACUCUAAAUGUUGUCAAGCAGCAUGACCUAUAACAGGGUCACCAGAAAACGUGUGGAGAGGCGACAUUUGCCGCAGCGCAUUUCAAUAUUUUGGUUUAGUUUAUUCAAAUACAGUAUAGUCCAUUUUGUUUGUGAGAAAAUGUGAAUGGGAUCAAAUUUGGUUUAUAUUCUUGGGCCACCAAGACUUUUUCAAUCCAAAAUGAUUAACUUGAAUUAAUCAAUAAACACGAUAGCUGACUGAGUACAUUUU